UGUACUAACCUUUCUUUUUGGUUUCUAUAGUUCUGCUUUUGGCCAUUUUUUUCUUGCUAACUGUAGUAUGUCAACCCAGGACAUGGUUUUUGUGUUUAAAAGCUCACCCUGAAAAAGGUUCAAGGGCUAUUCUGGAAUCUUGAGCAACCAGUUUAGUCACCAGCUGACUAAUAAACACUUGCUGUUGACUUAAUCCCAUGUUUGAACAGUCUUCUCUAGUGAAUAUGCCACAACAUUUCUGGAGGCCCCAGCGAGAUCCCAGAGACCAGACAGACCUCAAGAUCCUGGGUAUUAGAGGGUGCUCAAUCUGGAUAUUCCAGGUCCCCAGGACUACCUAAUUGCUGCUUAGUGCUUCAGAGUGGUCUAACACCUCCACCCAAGAAGGAAACAUAUUAGAAAGUUGCCAGGUCUGUCACCUCAGUAGCUUCUGCCUCCAGGAUUUGGCCCUGUUUGAGUUCCUGUCCUGACUUCCUUUAAUAAUGAACAGCAAUAUGGAAGGGUGCUCAUCCAUGACUGUAAGGAGAUGAAAGAUGAAACCAGGUACAUGGGAGCUGCAUUCAGUACUUU